rnacentral:rRNA from 1 species
UGCCAGACUCCUACGGGAGGCAGCAGUGAGGAAUAUUGGUCAAUGGCCGGAAGGCUGGACCAGCCAUGCCGCGUGAAGGUCAGUGCCCUAUGGGCGUUAAACUUCUUUUGUGCGGGAGCAAUAAUGGUCACGUGUGGCCAGACGAGAGUACCGUACGAAUAAGCAUCGGCUAACUCCGUGCCAGCAGCCGCGGUAAUACGGAGGAUCCGAGCGUUAUCCGGAUUUAUUGGGUUUAAAGGGAGCGUAGAUGGGUUGUUAAGUCAGUUGUGAAAGUUUGCGGCUCAACCGUAAAAUUGCAAUUGAUACUGGCAGCCUUGAGUACAGUUGAGGUAGGCGGAAUUCGUGGUGUAGCGGUGAAAUGCUUAGAUAUCACGCAGAACUCCGAUUGCGAAGGCAGCGUACCGGCGCCCAACUGACGCUGAAGCACGAAGGCGUGGGUAUCGAACAGGAUUAGAUACCCGCGUA